GACCCGAAUAACCCAAAGAUCCCGUUUGCCACCCACAGACAUUCAAAACCAUUCUCGAAAAUUGACCACACCUCUAGAAUUUUUUGGUAGCGUCUCGAAUCAGCGAUCGCAAAACCUUAACGUGUAAGGCUCCGAUUAGUCCAAGGCCCAUACAAAGAACCACUCGAUCACUGCCACGUCAAAAACAUAUAUGUUUGGUAUUCUGUCUCCACAGCUAUCGUAAUUUGGACGGUACAUUGUCAACUUUUUUAUCAAAUUCUGGAUAAGAUUGCUGACGUGCACUUGUACUUUCCAAAAUUGUAAACAAAAAAAACCAAGUCGCCAUUUGACCCAAGACUUAGACAUGUGGGACCUACGAGCAGGGAGCGAUUGGGUCAGUCUGAUUUAUUACCACAAAUUUAAUCCACUGAUUUAUUAUCUUACUCUAAAAUUAUCAAUUAAGACACAAAUCUUCCAAAUUUACCCUCUCAAUCCCCCUAAUUCCCCACUUAUAGACAGUAAAAUAGUUCCAAAACCAAGGGUAUUUACGUAAGUAGAUCUAGUCCCUCACUCAUGCUGCAAAUUAUCCCCGCCCGCUGUCAGAGGAACAGGAAAAAAUUAAGAAAAUCAUCGAAAGUUAGAGAAGAGAGCAGAGAUUAAGAUCUAUAGUUGUCUGCAGGAGGUGACGAGAUCAGGGCUCAAAAUGCUGGCGGUGUUUGAUCGGACGGUAGCGAAGAGCCCUGAGGGGCUGCGAUCGACGGCGGAGGGCGG